UUCCGGUUGAUCCUGCCGGAGGUCACUGCUAUUGGAGUUCGAUUAAGCCAUGCGAGUCAAGAGUUCUUCGUGAACUCGGCGGACUGCUCAGUAACACGUGGGUAAUCUACCCUAAGGUCAGGGAUAAUCCCGGGAAACUGGGGAUAAUACCUGAUAGGUGAAGAUGUCUGGAACGAUACUUCGCCCAAAGCUCCGGCGCCUUAGGAUGAGCCUGCGCCCGAUUAGGUUGUUGGCGGUGUAAAGGACCACCAAGCCCGUGAUCGGUACGGGUGUUGAGAGACAUAGCCCGGAGAUGGGGGCUGAGACACGGCCCCAGGCCCUACGGGGCGCAGCAGGCGCGAAAACUCCGCAAUACACGAAAGUGUGACGGGGGGACCCCAAGUGCUCUCGCGCAAGCGAGUGCUUUUGUGAAGUGUAAAUAGCUUCACGAAUAAGAGCUGGGUAAGACCGGUGCCAGCCGCCGCGGUAACACCGGCAGCUCGAGUGGUGAUCACUAUUAUUGGGCCUAAAGCGUCCGUAGCCGGUUUGAUAAGUCUUUGGGUAAAUCCUCAAGCUUAACUUGAGGAAUUCCGAAGAUACUGCCAGACUUGGAGUUGAGAGAAGUCAGAGGUACCUCUGGGGUAGGGGUGAAAUCCUAUAAUCCUGGGGGGACCACCAGUGGCGAAGGCGUCUGACUAGAGCAAGCUCGACGGUAAGGGACGAAAGCCAGGGGCGCGAACGGGAUUAGAUACCCCGGUAGUCCUGGCCGUAAACGCUGCGCGCUAGGUGUUACGUUCUCUACGAGGGGACGUAGUGCCGAAGAGAAGUUGAUAAGCGUGCCGCCUGGGAAGUAUUACCGCAAGGUAGAAACUUAAAGGAAUUGGCGGGGGAGCACCACAAGGGGUGGAGUCUGCGGUUCAAUUGGACUCAACGCCGGUA
rnacentral:rRNA from 1 species